rnacentral:rRNA from 1 species
GAGUUUGAUCAUGGCUCAGAUUGAACGCUGGCCGGCAUGCCUUACACAUGCAAGUCGAACGGCAGCACGGGAGCUUGCUCCUGGUGGCGAGUGGCGAACGGGUGAGUAAUGCAUCGGAACGUAUCCUGGAGUGGGGGAUAACGUAGCGAAAGUUACGCUAAUACCGCAUAUUCUGUGAGCAGGAAAGCGGGGGACCUUCGGGCCUCGCGCUCUUGGACGCGGCCGAUGUCGGAUUAGCUAGUUGGUGAGGUAAAGGCUCACCAAGGCGACGAUCCGUAGCAGGUCUGAGAGGAUGAUCUGCCACACUGGAACUGAGACACGGUCCAGACUCCUACGGAGGCAGCAGUGGGGAAUUUUGGACAAUGGGGGCGACCCUGAUCCAGCCAUGCCGCGUGAGUGAAGAAGGCCUCGGUUGUAA